ACUAUUUUGACAGAUAAGUGUAUUAAAUUUAGAAUUUAAUUAUAUGAUUAGUAAAUCAUAAAUAGUA
rnacentral:tRNA from 1 species